GCCUGGGAGUGGAUGUUUCAAAUGCCUAGCUGCCUAUAAAGCUGAAAUAGUUUUGCUACUGCCCUGAGUAGCAAAUGGAUUCAUACUAAAUAGCAUGCAUGUGGAAGCCCUGACCUCAAAAGCAGCGUUUGACCUCUGAAGAUGAAAAAUAGCUACAAGAAACCUGUCUGGGAACUAAAAUACAAGCAUGAAGAAUCCAAGUGCCCUAUCUAUGGAAAAAGAAGCAAUACUUGAGAAGGGGGGAUGGAUGAAGAGCUGAAUCAGCGAUAGAGUGAACAUUCAAGAUGAGAUGGCUGCUGCUGAUGUCUCUCUCUAGGUCAUCCAACUGCAAAUGCUGCAUGAUAAGCUUACAGUUUUCUCAGCAACAAUACGGAAGUGGUUUGCCAUUGUUUUCUUCCAGGAUACUUUUUCAACUUCCCACUGCAGCCUACAGCUCAGAUAUUUCCUGGCCAUUAUCCAUCCAAAUAUUAACCUGGUUUGACCUUGCUUCAAUUUCUGCGACCAGCCAAGUCAGCUGGGUACUGCCACCUAGCUGGGUUGUUAGAUACAAAUGUUUCCAAAAGGAAAGAUAUACAUUAGAAAUUGUGCAUGUAGGAAUUUCUCCUCUCCUCUUCUAUGCUCUGAAGUGACUGGACCAGAAGCUAGUCUAAUUUCAGCACUAGUGAUGAAUCAGCAUUCUCCACCUGAACUUAAAGAACUUUGAAACUACUUAGACAGCUGGUACGGCAUGAACAGUUUUGCUAUCAACAGAGGGAAUAACCUGGAAGCACAGAAGGAGCACCUAGAGGAACUGCUGUUGGUGGUCUACACUCACUCUAGUAUUUACU